rnacentral:rRNA from 1 species
UACGAAGGGGGCUAGCGUUGCUCGGAAUUACUGGGCGUAAAGCGCACGUAGGCGGAUCUUUAAGUCAGGGGUGAAAUCCCGAGGCUCAACCUCGGAACUGCCUUUGAUACUGGGGAUCUCGAGUCCGGGAGAGGUGAGUGGAACUGCGAGUGUAGAGGUGAAAUUCGUAGAUAUUCGCAAGAACACCAGUGGCGAAGGCGGCUCACUGGCCCGGUACUGACGCUGAGGUGCGAAAGCGUGGGGAGCAAACAGG